rnacentral:rRNA from 1 species
CGGAUUGCCCCAGCGACGGCAAGUGAAGCGGCACCAGCUCAAAUUUGAAAUCUGGCCCCCCCCGGGGGGCCCGAGUUGUAAUUUGCAGAGGAUGCUUUGGGCGAGGCGCCUUCCGAGUUCCCUGGAACGGGACGCCACAGAGGGUGAGAGCCCCGUCUGGUCGGACGCCGAGCCUCUGUAAAGCUCCUUCGACGAGUCGAGUAGUUUGGGAAUGCUGCUCAAAAUGGGAGGUAUAUGUCUUCUAAAGCUAAAUACCGGCCAGAGACCGAUAGCGCACAAGUAGAGUGAUCGAAAGAUGAAAAGCACCUUGAAAAGGGGGUUAAACAGUACGUGAAAUUGUUGAAAGGGAAGCGCUCGUGACCAGACUUGGGGCGG